UACGAAGGGGGCUAGCGUUGUUCGGAAUUACUGGGCGUAAAGCGCACGUAGGCGGUCUUUUAAGUCGGGGGUGAAAUCCUGGAGCUCAACUCCAGAACUGCCUUCGAUACUGGAAGACUCGAGUCCGGGAGAGGUGAGUGGAACUGCGAGUGUAGAGGUGAAAUUCGUAGAUAUUCGCAAGAACACCAGUGGCGAAGGCGGCUCACUGGCCCGGUACUGACGCUGAGGUGCGAAAGCGUGGGGAGCAAACAGGG
rnacentral:rRNA from 1 species